rnacentral:rRNA from 1 species
UGCUUAAUACAUGCAAGUCGAGCGAGAACGUACCCUUCGGGGUGCUAGUAGAGCGGCGAACGGGUGAGUAACACGUAAGCAACCUGCCUCUAAAUUCGGAAUAACCUUGCUAACGCGGGGCUAAUACCGGAUGUGAUCCAUUUUCCGCAUGGUUUUUGGAUUAAAGGUGACCUCUCCUUGGAAGUUACUGUUUAGAGAUGGGCUUGCGGACCAUUAGCUUGUUGGUGGGGUAACGGCCUACCAAGGCUACGAUGGUUAGCCGACCUGAGAGGGUGAUCGGCCACAUUGGGACUGAGAUACGGCCCAGACUCCUACGGGAGGCAGCAGUAGGGAAUUUUGCGCAAUGGACGAAAGUCUGACGCAGCAACUCCGCGUGAGGGAUGAAUGCCUUCGGGUUGUAAACCUCUGUUGAGUGGGAAGAAAAAGCUUUUUGCUAAUAUCAAAAAGCCAUGACGGUACCAUUCAAGAAAGCUCCGGCUAACUACGUGCCAGCAGCCGCGGUAAUACGUAGGGAGCAAGCGUUGUUCGGAAUCACUGGGCGUAAAGGGAGCGUAGGCGGGAAAGUAAGUUAGAAGUGAAAUGUAUCGGCUCAACCGGUAACCUGCUUUUAAUACUGCUUUUCUUGAGUAUGGGAGAGGAAGAUGGAAUUCCAGGUGUAGCGGUGGAAUGCGUAGAUAUCUGGAAGAACACCAAUUGCGAAGGCGGUCUUCUGGCCCAAUACUGACGCUGAGGCUCGAAAGCUAGGGGAGCGAACAGGAUUAGAUACCCUGGUAGUCCUAGCCGUAAACGAUGGACACUAGAUGUUGGAAGCAAAUUAUUGUUUUCAGUGUCGUAGCUAACGCAUUAAGUGUCCCGCCUGGGGAGUACGCUCGCAAGAGUGAAACUCAAAGGAAUUGACGGGGGCCCGCACAAGCGGUGGAGCAUGUGCUUUAAUUCGAUGCAACGCGAAGAACCUUACCUGGUCUUGACAUGGGAGUGAAAGUCACUAGAGAUAGAGACCUUUCCUUAGGGAACACUCCACACAGGUGCUGCAUGGUUGUCGUCAGCUCGUGUCGUGAGAUGUUGGGUUAAGUCCCGUAACGAGCGCAACCCCUAUCCUUAGUUGCCAUCAGGUUAUGCUGGGAACUCUAGGGAGACUGCCUGGAUUAACCAGGAGGAAGGUGGGGAUGACGUCAAAUCCUCAUGGCCCUUACGACCAGGGCUA